UACGUAGGGGGCUAGCGUUGUCCGGAAUCAUUGGGCGUAAAGAGCGCGUAGGCGGCUGGAAUAGUCCGGUGUGAAAUCCACAGGCUUAACCUGUGAAUGCCGCUGGAAACUGUCUGGCUAGAGUCCGGAAGGGGCGAGUGGAAUUCCUGGUGUAGCGGUGAAAAUGCGCAGAUAUCAGGAGGAACACCAAUGGCGAAGGCAGCUCGCUGGGACGGUACUGACGCUGAGGCGCGAAAGCGUGGGGAGCGAACAGG
rnacentral:rRNA from 1 species